GCACUGCCGAAAAGUCCCAUAAUAGAACGAAACGGCCGUCCAGUGC
rfam:Schistosoma rodhaini strain Burundi genome assembly, scaffold: SROB_scaffold0002966